GCCUAACACAUGCAAGUCGAGCGGAAACGACACUAGCAAUCCUUCGGGUGCGUUAUUGGGCGUCGAGCGGCGGACGGGUGAGUAAUGCCUAGGAAAUUGCCUUGAUGUGGGGGAUAACCAUUGGAAACGAUGGCUAAUACCGCAUGAUGCCUACGGGCCAAAGAGGGGGACCUUCGGGCCUCUCGCGUCAAGAUAUGCCUAGGUGGGAUUAGCUAGUUGGUGAGGUAAUGGCUCACCAAGGCGACGAUCCCUAGCUGGUCUGAGAGGAUGAUCAGCCACACUGGAACUGAGACACGGUCCAGACUCCUACGGGAGGCAGCAGUGGGGAAUAUUGCACAAUGGGCGAAAGCCUGAUGCAGCCAUGCCGCGUGUAUGAAGAAGGCCUUCGGGUUGUAAAGUACUUUCAGUUGUGAGGAAGGGGGUGUAGUUAAUAGCUGCAUAUCUUGACGUUAGCAACAGAAGAAGCACC
rnacentral:rRNA from 1 species